rnacentral:rRNA from 1 species
UCGCCGCCCGCCACUCGGCGAAAAGUCCAUUGAACCUUAUCAUUUAGAGGAAGGAGAAGUCGUAACAAGGUUUCCGUAGGUGAACCUGCGGAAGGAUCAUUG